GUAACAUGAGAUGAAAACUGGAGAAGCAUCCCUAAAAUAUAUGAACCAAUCUGCCUAGAAAUAGCUAGGAAUCUGUGUUUAGUGUAAUACUGUAAACCUUGAAUCGUACUAUGCGACCUACAUGAAGUGUCACCAGUGAUGCUGGAAGUGCUCCCAAAAAUCGGAGAAAAGUCAGAAAAGAAAAAGUUGAAUUGCUUGAUGUGUAUUGUAGGUUUAGAUCUGCAAUUGCAGUUGCUUGCCAUGUCAAGAUAAAUGAAUCUAGCCUAAGGGCCAUUGUAAAAAAUAAAAGGAGCCUUGUGAAGCUGUCCCUGUAGCUAUGCCAGUAGGUGCAAAAUGCUUGUACUUUUUGUGAAAUAUCUUUUUAUCUUGUAUUGAAAAUGCAGUUUUUAUGUGAGUGCAGAAUUGCUGUAAGAAAAGCAUCUCUAGACUAAUAUGAUUUGAGAAAAAGUGAAGUCAUUAUAUGACAACUUAAAGCAAAAGGAAGGUGAAGAAUCUAAAGCUGGAUAAUCUAAUGCCAGCAAAGGAUGGUUUGAUCAUUUGGCUUAAAACAU
rnacentral:lncRNA from 10 species